rnacentral:rRNA from 1 species
GACGAACGCUGGCGGCGUGCUUAACACAUGCAAGUCGAACGGAAAGGCCCUGCUUGUGUGGGGUGCUCGAGUGGCGAACGGGGGAGUAACACGUGAGUAACCGGCCCUUGACUUUGGGAUAACUUCAGGAAACUGGGGCUAAUACCGUAUAGGAUCUCCUGCUGCAGGGUGGGGGGUGGAAAUUUUCGGCGGUUGGGGCUGGACGAGCGGCUGAUCAGCUUGCUGGUGGGGGAGUGGCUGACCGAGGCAUUGACGGGUAGCCGGCCUGGGAGGGUGACCGGCCACCUGGGGAUUGCGGUACGGCCCAGACUCCUACGUGAGGCAGCAGUGGCGAGUAUUGCACAAUGGGCGGACGCCUGAUGCAGCAACGCCGCGUGCGGGAUGACGGCCUUCGGGUUAUAAACCGCUUUCGCCUGUGACGAAGCGUGAGUGACGGUAAUGGGUAAAGAAGCACCGGCUAACUACGUG